rnacentral:rRNA from 1 species
GAUCCCAUCAGAACUCCGAAGUUAAGCGUGCUUUGGCGAGAGUAGUACUAAGAUGGGUGACCUCCAUGGAAGUCCUUGUGUUGCACCCC